rnacentral:rRNA from 1 species
CCUACGGGAGGCAGCAGUAGGGAAUUUUCGUCAAUGGGCGCAAGCCUGAACGAGCAAUGCCGCGUGAACGAGGAAGGUCUUCGGAUCGUAAAGUUCCGUUGAAGGGGAAAAAGAGCGGAGAGAGGAAAUGCUUUCUGAUUGAUAUUACCCUUCGAGGAAGUCACGGCUAACUACGUGCCAGCAGCCGCGGUAAUACGUAGGUGGCGAGCGUUAUCCGGAUUGAUUGGGCGUAAAGGGUGCGUAGGCGGCCUGCUAAGUCUGGAGUGAAAGGUACCGGCUCAACCGGUGCAGGCUCUGGAAACUGGCGGGCUUGAGAGCAGGAGAGGGAGGUGGAACGCGAGGUGUAGCGGUAAAAUGCGUAGAUAUAUCGAAGAACACCAGUGGCGAAGGCAGCCGCCUGGCGUGUUACUGACGCUGAGGUACGAAAGCGUGGGGAGCGAAUAGGAUUAGAUACCCGAGUAGUC